rnacentral:rRNA from 1 species
GAUGAACGCUGGCGGCGUGCUUAACACAUGCAAGUCGAACGAUGAAGCCCAGCUUGCUGGGUGGAUUAGUGGCGAACGGGUGAGUAACACGUGAGUAACCUGCCCUUAACUCUGGGAUAAGCCUGGGAAACUGGGUCUAAUACCGGAUAGGAGCGUCCACCGCAUGGUGGGUGUUGGAAAGAUUUAUCGGUUUUGGAUGGACUCGCGGCCUAUCAGCUUGUUGGUGAGGUAAUGGCUCACCAAGGCGACGACGGGUAGCCGGCCUGAGAGGGUGACCGGCCACACUGGGACUGAGACACGGCCCAGACUCCUACGGGAGGCAGCAGUGGGGAAUAUUGCACAAUGGGCGCAAGCCUGAUGCAGCGACGCCGCGUGAGGGAUGACGGCCUUCGGGAUGUAAACCUCUUUCAGUAGGGAAGAAGCGAAAGUGACGGUACCUGCAGAAGAAGCACCGGCUAACUACGUG